AGCGAACGCUGGCGGCAGGCUUAACACAUGCAAGUCGAGCGGUCAUCCUUGUGGUGUCUGCUGCAGACGAGUGGGUAACGCGUGGGAACCAGCUCUUUAAUUUGCCCUAACCCAGGGAAACUUGAGCUAAUACCGGGUCCGUUCCCGGGCACAAAGGUUGAUCUGCCGUAGGCUCGGCGCGCGUCUGAUUGGCCUGGUGGUGAGUCUACGGCUCUCCAAUGCUACGUUGAGUAGCUGGUCUGAGAGGAGGAUCAGCCACACUGGGCAUGAGGCACGGACCAGACUCCUACGGGAGGGAGCAGUGGGGAAUAUUAGGCGAGGGGGGCAAAUGUGGCGAAGCCAUGCCGGGGGAGUGAUGACGGCGUUAGGGAUGUAAAGCUCGUAUCUAAGGGACGAUAGUGACGGUACCGGAAGAAGAAGCCCCGGCUAACUUCGUG
rnacentral:rRNA from 1 species